AGUACAAUACUAAUGAAGAAAGAUUGUCUCAUCGACCUGAAGAUGUUGAGCUUGAGGACUGGAAAUACCUAAUACAAUAUUUUGGAAGUCAGGAUUUUAAGAGAAAUCCUAUUACUGGAGAAAUAGACACACCAGAUAAAGUUUGGGAGAUCCAACAUACACGCAAGGAUGAUAGAGGAGAACUGGUGUGGGUGGAUUCACAAUCCCAACAAAUUCAUGGUCAACUCCAAGAAGUUGUCACUCAACAACAAUCUGAAGAGAUCGAGCAUCCCAUGACUAGAGAUGAGAUUU